UACAGAGGUCUCAAGCGUUGUUCGGAUUCAUUGGGCGUAAAGGGUGCGUAGGUGGCGCUGUAAGUCGGGUGUGAAAUUUCGGAGCUCAACUCCGAAACUGCAUUCGAUACUGCGGUGCUUGAGGACUGGAGAGGAGACUGGAAUUCAUGGUGUAGCGGUGAAAUGCGUAGAGAUCAUGAGGAAGACCAGUGGCGAAGGCGGGUCUCUGGACAGUUCCUGACACUGAGGCACGAAGGCCAGGGGAGCAAACGGG
rnacentral:rRNA from 1 species